CACACACACAAAACCCCAGGCUUUGAAGCUUGCAAGGCCAUUAAAUACUAAUCAAGGUGGCUAAUUGCAGCAUUCAUACUUGCCGCACUGAGACUAUUCAUUGCUAUUCAACCUGGCCAACCAAGCAUUCCACAAGGUAGAAAGCGGCCAGGCUUGCAAACAGCAAGGCUAUUCAGUGCUAUUCAAUCUGGACAACCAAGGAUUCCACAAGGUAGAAAGCGGUAGAAAGCGGUCAGGCUUGCAAGCAGCAAGGCUAUUCAGUGCUGUUCAACCUGGCCAACCAAGAUUUCCCCGAGAUAGAAAACCCCCAGGCUUUGAAGCCACGAGGCUACUCUGUCCCAUUCAGCCUGCCCAUAUGUAGAAAGCGGCCAGGCUUUGAAGCUGCAAGACUAUUCAGUGCAAUUCAAGCUGGCCAAACGAGGAUUUCCUGACAAAGUAGCCAGGUUCACAGCAAUUUGAGGGUGCUACUCCAGAAAACGGCCAGGCUUUGAGGCUGCAAGGCUAUUCACUGCUAUUCCACCUGACCAACAAAGGAUUCCCAUAAGCCACAGCAACGCCUGGCCGGGCAAAGCUAGUAUGUUGUAUUAUUAGUAUAGCACAAUAUAAACAUAUAUUGCAAUAUUGUACUAUACUGCCAUAUUAGUAAUAUUACAUAUAAUAUAUAAGUGUAUUAUAUUACACUAGCUGUGCCCGGCCACGCGUUGCUGUGGCAAAGUCUGGUGGUCUGGGAAAUAAAGUAUCUUACAUUA